AUGAAUCUCUCUAGGAAUUGGGGAGCGAGCACCGAUUUCUGACUUCCUUGAGCACACUGGGGUGACUGGUGCAACUGUGGGGCCCAACAAGCUGGCAGAGGUGAGGUGGCUUCUAACAGAGGCACUGGGCUCUGGGCAGGUGAGAAACUGCAAUUGUAGCUUCUGAAAGCUUACCACAUACCUGGCACCCAUCAGGCAUCUCUCCAGCAUGGAGGUUCACAUGUAGGAUGCUCUAACUUCUGGCAGAUGAUGCCUUCACAAAGGGUAAUCUCAGAGCUGCCCUCUGGUAUGAGCUAUGUUGAACAGGGAGACAGCAUAUCCACUGCACUCCUAAGAACUUUCUCCAGUGUGAACUUUCUGGUGCUGAAUGACAUCAUGCCUUUAUAUGGCUUUUCUCUAAUCUGAAUGUUCUGGUGCACGAACUUACAGAUGCAGCUAAAAGCACUCCAACACUGGCUACACUGAUAAAGCCUUUUUGUUCUGGUGCAGAACAAGAAAGCUCCUGGUGAAGGCUUUCCCGCAGUUGCUGCACUCCUGAGGCCUCUCCCGUGUGAAUUUUGCAGUGCUGAAUGCAGCAGGAGCUUUGGCUAAUGAAUUUCCCAUAUUUGUCAUCCACGUAAGACCUAUCACCAGUGAACUAGUUUCUAGUGUGCAAUAAGAAUGCAGCUUUAGCUAAAGACUUUCACACAUUAAUAGCACACACGAGGCCCUUCUGCACUGUGGAUCCUCUGGCGCUGAACAAGGGGGGUCUUUGCAGCUGAAGGCUUUCCCACAUCGCUGUACUCAUGAGGCUUUGCUCCAGUGUGCUUUCUCUGGUGCUGAACAAGGUGGAAGCUUCCAUAGGAUUUUCCACAUUCAGGGCACUUGUAAGGCCUUUCUGUAGUGUGGAUUCUCUGGUGCUGAACAAGAGCGUCUUUGUGGCUGAAGGCUUUCCCACAUGUGCUACACUUGUGAUUCCUUUGUCUAGUGUGAAAGGCUCCCCACAUGCAGAGCCCCUGUGUGGCUUGCUCCUGGUGUGAGGGGCCUCUUGCUGGAAAAUGCCUUAGCUGGCCGAGAAAUCCUUCCCAGUAUCCCUACAUGUGGAGGGUUUCUCUGACAUGUAGGCUCUGCAGCUCUUCAUAAACAAGGCCCUGCCUUCAUUCCUGCCGAAGAGUUCUCUCCACUCUGCUGCUUUGGGUGUGCUGUAUGAGAACUAUUUCCCACAUGCCUCACCUGGGAGCAGUUUCUCCACAAGGGCGUGUCCCCAGAUGCUCAGAUAGGUGCAAACCAUCUUUCAAGUUGGGGCCACACAUCUCUCUGGGGUGGGCCUUCUAGGUGGAAACUCCUAAGAAACUUUUUCUAUAGAAACAUUGUGCCCAGAAGAUGUUUCUCCAUCCUCCACACCACAC
rnacentral:lncRNA from 1 species